rnacentral:rRNA from 1 species
GACGAACGCUGGCGGCGUGCCUAAUACAUGCAAGUCGAACGCAGUGGGGACGGGUGAGUAACACGUGGGUAACCUCCCAUCAGAGGGGAGAACACUUGGAAACAGGUGCUAAACCGAUCUUGAUGGAUGGACCCGCGGUGCACUAGCAAGUGGGGGAGGCAACGGCUAACCAAGGCACCGAUGCAGAGCCGACCGGAGAGGGUGACCGGCCAAACUGGAACUGAGACACGGCCCAGACUCCUACGGGAGGAAGCAGUAGGGAAUCUUCGGCAAUGGACGAAAGUCUGACCGAGCAACGCCGCGUGAGUGAAGAAGGUUUUCGGAUCGUAAAACUCUGGUGCGAGAGAAGCGGUAUCUAACCAGAAAGCCACGGCUAACUACGUGCCAGCAGCCGCGGUAAUUC